GUCUGACGGAGCACGCCGCGUGAGCGAUGAAGGCCUUCGGGUCGUAAAGCUCUGUUGUUAGGGAAGAAUAAGUGCUAGUUGAAUAAGCUGGCACCUUGACGGUACCUAACCAGAAAGCCACGGCUAACUACGUGCCAGCAGCCGCGGUAAUACGUAGGUGGCAAGCGUUGUCCGGAAUUAUUGGGCGUAAAGCGCGCGCAGGCGGUUUCUUAAGUCUGAUGUGAAAGCCCCCGGCUCAACCGGGGAGGGUCAUUGGAAACUGGGAAACUUGAGUGCAGAAGAGGAAAGUGGAAUUCCAAGUGUAGCGGUGAAAUGCGUAGAGAUUUGGAGGAACACCAGUGGCGAAGGCGACUUUCUGGUCUGUAACUGACGCUGAGGCGCGAAAGCGUGGGGAGCAAACAGGAUUAGAUACCCUGGUAGUCCACGCUGUAAACGAUGAGUGCUAAGUGUUAGAGGGUUUCCGCCCUUUAGUGCUGAAGUUAACGCAUUAAGCACUCCGCCUGGGGAGUACGGUCGCAAGACUGAAACUCAAAGGAAUUGACGGGGGCCCGCACAAGUGGUGGAGCAUGUGGUUUAAUUCGA
rnacentral:rRNA from 2 species